rnacentral:rRNA from 1 species
UACGUAGGGUGCAAGCGUUAAUCGGAAUUACUGGGCGUAAAGCGUGCGCAGGCGGUUUUGUAAGACAGAGGUGAAAUCUCCGGGCUCAACCUGGAGGGGCCACCCGAUACUGCUGGACUUGAGUUCGGUAGGGGAGUGGGGAAUUCCUGGUGUAGCGGUGAAAUGCGCAGAUAUCAGGAGGAACACCGGUGGCGAAGGCGCCACUCUGGGCCGACACUGACGCUGAGGAGCGAAAGCGUGGGUAGCAAACAGG